UACGGGGGGAGCUAGCGUUUUUCGGAAUUACUGGGCGUAAAGGGCGCGUAGGCGGCUGAUAAAGUUGAAAGUGAAAUCCCCGAGCUUAACUUGGGAACUGCUUUCAAAACUCAUCAGCUAGAGUGUGAUAGAGGACAGUAGAAUUCCUAGUGUAGAGGUGAAAUUCUUAGAUAUUAGGAAGAAUACCAGAGGCGAAGGCGGCUGUCUGGGUCACAACUGACGCUGAGGCGCGAAAGCGUGGGGAGCAAACAGG
rnacentral:rRNA from 1 species